GACGAACGCUGGCGGCGUGCUUAAUACAUGCAAGUCGAACGGUGAACCUCUUCGGAGGGGAUCAGUGGCGAACGGGCGAGUAACACGUGGGCAACCUGCCCCCGGCCCUGGGAUAACUCCAAGAAAUCGGGGCUAAUACCGGAUGUUCACCGCUUCCCGCAUGGGUGGUGGUGCAAUGGGUUUCCGGCUGGGGAUGGGCCCGCGGCCUAUCAGCUUGUUGGCGGGGUAGUGGCCUACCAAGGCGACGACGGGUAGCCGGCCUGGGAGGGUGACCGGCCACACUGGGACUGAGACACGGCCCAGACUCCUACGGGAGGCAGCAGGGGGGAAUAUUGCGCAAUGGGCGGAAGCCUGACGCAGCGACGCCGCGUGGGGGAUGACGGCCUUCGGGUUGUAAACCUCUUUCAGCAGGGACGAAGCGCAAGUGACGGUACCUGCAGAAGAAGCACCGGCCAACUACGUG
rnacentral:rRNA from 1 species